rnacentral:rRNA from 1 species
UACGAAGGGUGCAAACGUUGCUCGGAAUUAUUGGGCGUAAAGCGCACGUAGGCGGCAUUGCAAGUCCCAUGUGAAAUCCCACGGCUUAACCGUGGAAGUGCAUGGGAAACUGCAGUGCUUGAGUACUUAAGAGGAUCGCGGAAUUCCCGGUGUAGAGGUGAAAUUCGUAGAUAUCGGGAGGAACACCAGUGGCGAAGGCGGCGAUCUGGGAAGAUACUGACGCUGAGGAGCGAAAGCGUGGGGAGCGAACAGG